CUAGGCUGCCUCGGUCGCUGCAUAUCAGCGAUCAGGUUUGGUCACCUGGUUU
rfam:Pseudomonas putida CSV86 contig00119, whole genome shotgun sequence.